rnacentral:rRNA from 1 species
GAUGAACGCUGGCGGCGUGCCUAAUACAUGCAAGUCGAGCGAACAGACGAGGAGCUUGCUCCUCUGACGUUAGCGGCGGACGGGUGAGUAACACGUGGAUAACCUACCUAUAAGACUGGGAUAACUUCGGGAAACCGUAGCUAAUACCGGAUAAUAUAUUGAACCGCAUGGUUCAAUAGUGAAAGACGGUUUUGCUGUCACUUAUAGAUGGAUCCGCGCCGCAUUAGCUAGUUGGUAAGGUAACGGCUUACCAAGGCAACGAUGCGUAGCCGACCUGAGAGGGUGAUCGGCCACACUGGAACUGAGACACGGUCCAGACUCCUACGGGAGGCAGCAGUAGGGAAUCUUCCGCAAAGGGCGAAAGCCUGACGGAGCAACGCCGCGUGAGUGAUGAAGGUCUUCGGAUCGUAAAACUCUGUUAUUAGGGAAGAACAAAUGUGUAAGUAACUAUGCACGUCUUGACGGUACCUAAUCAGAAAGCCACGGCUAACUACGUG